UCUAUCACAUCUCAAUCGUUUCAUUCGAUUUGGGUUCUUAAUAGUGUUUCACCGAUGGCCUUUUCUAUCGGGAUUGAAUCCAAAAAGACCACCAGAAUCGAGCUCCCCUAAUGCCUCUUCUCUUCUCCAACUCCAGGAUGCCAUUGCCCAAUCGAUUUCCUCAACAACCUCUUCUUCGUCUCUCCGCCUCUCCCUCAACAGGAACAAUGAGCUCUUCGCUUCUUCUCCUCACGGUUCGCUCCAUUCCCUAGGUAUCGCAUCUGGCUUGUACUGAUUUUCUGAUCUGGGUUUCUCAGAUCUGACACAAUAAGGGUCAUUAUUGGCCAAGGUGAAGCAAACGACGGGAAUCGUCGGUUUGGAUGUGGUCCCCAAUGCUAGGCAGGUCCUCAUCGAGCUCUACAACAAAACCCUAAAAGAGGUUGAGGCCAUACUAGCGGAUGAGGGUUACCGCAAGGCUAUGGAGCACUUCACACGACAACGUCUCAAGGUUUGUGAGGAAGAAGAAGAUUGGGAGGUCAUCGAGAAGCGACUUGCCUGUGGCCAGGUCGAGGAGCUUAUCAAGGAGGCGCGCAAUGAGCUCACCCUGAUCGGGAAGAUGAUUGGUCUGUGAAUAUAAUUCCAUUUUUAAACCCUAAAUUUUGAUUCCUUGUUUGAUGCUUGAUCUCUUGAUUUUGAAAUUGGUAGAACAAAUAAUUGAUAUUUGAAACUUUACUGAUCCUGACAAUUUCAAUGAUUAUAUUCAAUCUGCAUUACUGUAAAAUAACUGGAGGAAUCUUGAGCAUCUUUGAUAAUUUCGCUGAGUUGGGAUGAAUUCGGAUGUGGAUUCGCUGAGUUUGGACACGAGAAAUUCACUAACUCGUUAAAGGAAUAGGAAUGGCAACUCCUGUAGAGCCUGCAAAUGGGAUUAGAACCCCAGGAAAGCAUUACUACUCCAUGUGGCAAACCUUGUUUGAACUUGAUACAAAGUAUGUGCCCAUCAAGCCAAUUGGUCAUGGAGCUUAUGGCAUUGUUUGCUCAUCUGUUAAUAGGGAAACCAAUGAGAAGGUUGCAAUUAAGAAAAUACACAAUGUCUUCGACAACCGAAUCGAUGCUCUGAGAACUUUGAGAGAGUUGAAGCUUCGGCACGAAAAUGUGAUUGCUCUGAAAGAUGUCAUGGUGCCUAUCCAUAGGAAAAGUUUCAAGGAUGUCUACUUGGUGUAUGAACUCAUGGAUACAGAUCUGCACCAGAUUAUAAAUCUUCUCAAUCACUUAGUAAUGACCACUGCCAGUAUUUCCUUUUUCAGGAUUAGCAAUUAAAACACUUGCUGGUGUUAUCUCUCUGGCAUCUUCUGAAAUCGAUCAAUCUAUGAUUGGAACUUUGAAAAAUGAUAUAUCAAAGCUUCUAAAUGAGAUAAUGUAAAAAAGUCUGUAGGUUCUCUUUACUUUCUCAUCUAUCAGUAUCAGUAUUUAGGUAAACGGAAGCAUUUUGCCAGCAUCAGUCCUAUAUGUGUAUUGUACAUACCUCUGCUACAGUACACUUUCAGUUGUAUGUAGACCCAAAACGAACAAUGAGUUCAAAGUACAAUUAAUUCAUCAUUCAAGCAGCUGAACCAAUGGAAGAUUAGGUAGAAGUUUCACUAUACUCUUUUUAGUUUUUCUAACAAUAUUCCAUAUAUUAAGUCUUUUUUAAAUACCUUUUUCUUCUAUUUUAAGAUCGCACAUUCACUUUAAUUUUUAUUACAUAAUGUUUGCUUUAAAAUUUACAAAACUUAUGUCUUGUUCCUCCAAAUUUUCUAUAAGUAAAUAA